GGUUAACUGUCAAAUAUACAAAAAUCGAGUAAAUGAAAAAAAAAUUAGUAAUAGGGGCUAGUGCAACUAACUAGCAAAACCGAAAGGUGAUGUCAUAGACAUUUUAAUAAAAAUAUUUAUAAUUUUUUCUUUUUUUUUUAUUAUUAACUUUACCUAAAAUUUUAUUAUAAGACUAAUUACAACGGAUGCUACAAGUGAACUUGCGAAUUCGUUAAUAAAAAGCGCAAGCACAAACGAUUACGUUUUAACGUAUUUAUGUAUAUACACAUAUAUUAUUACUGCUAUUGGUACGUAUACUUAGUAACAGUAAUACUAACAAGUAUCGUUAUUAUUUUUAAAAGCACUUACAGAGUUAUUUUAUUCAAUAUAGACGUAUGCGCACAUGCAUAUGCAAAUGUUAAUACACACAUAUAUAUAUAUAUAUGUGUACCAAAUUUUGUAUUAAAUAUUUUUUUUUAACUUAAAAAUCUUAAACAGAUGACACCGUAAAGACGACAGUAUGGAUAACAAAACGAGCGACGUACUCACUUUUGAAAACAGCAUUCAGAACACGGAAGAAUACAUUGAGGAGGGGGAUGUCGUUUUUGAAAGUGAAGAAUUAAAAAAAAAAAGAGAAGAGAUAAAGAAUGAUAAAAUAUUUAUUGACUGUGUUAAGAACAUUUGGAUGAAUAUAUUAAAUAAAAAAAUGGACGAACAAUUUAGUAAAAUAGAAUAUUUUAAAAUAAUGUUAAGGAUAUGUAAAGUGUUAAUACCUCAGUUCGAAAUUAAAAAAGUAAUAAAUAUAGUUAGUGACGAAUGGGAUAAUGAUAGUAAAGGUAAAAGGUCUUUAGAUUUUAAUAGCUUUCUUAACGCAUUUUUCGAAUUAGCAGAUAUAUGGACACCUACUAUCAAUGCAUAUGACUAUGCACAUUUUUUGAAAUCUUUAUUUUAUAGAAUUAUAUUUAUUGAAGUAACAACAGAAAAUGGAGAAGUUAUAAAAAAAAAACCAGUUUUUUUCAUAAAUUUUAAACGAAAUGUAAAAGGUAAAAAAAAGUUAUCAUUACUUAAUGAUUCAGUAGACAUAUCACCAUCAAAUAAACCAGAUGAUAGUCAAACAAGUGGUGAUAAAUUUAUUGGAUCUGAUAAAGAUAACUUUUUAAAUAAAAUAAAAUCAAUAAAAAAGUUAUCAGUUCAACUUAAGCAAUUAAAAAAACAAUUUUCAAAAAGAUUAAGUGUCAUGCAAAAUAAAAAUGAUUCAUUUUUAUAUGUUGAUGGUAAUGAUAAAAGGUAUCAAAAUGAUUUAGGUCGCUAUGAUGGAAAUAUUUUUGAAAAUAUAUUAAAUAACAAUGAGCAAAAUACAAAUAUAAAAAAUAACGUUAUAUUACUAGAUGUAGAAGAAAUCAAUCCUAUGGAGUAUGAUAACAUUAUUCAUGACAUUGAUAAGGGAGACGACGAUUAUAAAAGUGACAAGCAAAUAGGGUUAGUCGAUGUGUCGAGGUCGAUAGUAGAAACGGACAAAAAUGCCGAAAUGACAUCAACAAACGAAAAUGAAAGGACGGGCGCAUAUGAAGUAAAAAACAAAACCAGUGAAGCUGAAACUGAUGAAACCAAAUUAAAAAAUCAAAACGAUGAAUGGAUUGUUGAUAAAGAAUUUAAACUAGCUAAAAAAAAAGAGAAAAAUGAAGAUGAGUCUAAAGUAGGGACAGUUAUAAAAACUGUAAAGGAAGUAAAAAAAGAAGAUCAAGAGGAAGAAGAAACAGAUAAAAAUAAUGAAAAAAAGGAAUAUAAAAAAAUAGAGAAAAUAGAGAAAAUAGAGAAAAUAGAGAAAAUAGAGAAAAUAGAGAAAAUAGAGAAAAUAGAGAAAAUAGAGAAAACAGAGAAAAUAGAGAAAACAGAGAAAAUAGAGAAAACAGAGAGAAAAGAAAAAAAAGAGUCAGUCAUCUUAAUCGAUGGUAUAAAUUUUAACGAUAUAACAAAAGAGUGCAAAAUCGAAAAUGGUUAUGAUGCAGUAGGAGUAACUGCAGAUAGUGAGAAACUCAUAUCAAGC
rnacentral:lncRNA from 1 species